rnacentral:rRNA from 1 species
GAUGAACGCUGGCGGCGUGCUUAACACAUGCAAGUCGAACGAUGAAGCCCAGCUUGCUGGGUGGAUUAGUGGCGAACGGGUGAGUAACACGUGAGUAACCUGCCCUUAACUCUGGGAUAAGCCUGGGAAACUGGGUCUAAUACCGGAUAGGAGCGUCCACCGCAUGGUGGGUGUUGGAAAGAUUUAUCGGUUUUGGAUGGACUCGCGGCCUAUCAGCUUGUUGGUGAGGUAAUGGCUCACCAAGGCGACGACGGGUAGCCGGCCUGAGAGGGUGACCGGCCACACUGGGACUGAGACACGGCCCAGACUCCUACGGGAGGCAGCAGUGGGGAAUAUUGCACAAUGGGCGAAAGCCUGAUGCAGCGACGCCGCGUGAGGGAUGACGGCCUUCGGGUUGUAAACCUCCUUCAGUAGGGAAGAAGCGAAAGUGACGGUACCUGCAGAAGAAGCACCGGCUAACUACGUG